GGAGCGUUCUGUAAGCCUGCGAAGGUGUGCUGUGAGGCAUGCUGGAGGUAUCAGAAGUGCGAAUGCUGACAUAAGUAACGAUAAAGCGGGUGAAAAGCCCGCUCGCCGGAAGACCAAGGGUUCCUGUCCAACGUUAAUCGGGGCAGGGUGAGUCGACCCCUAAGGCGAGGCCGAAAGGCGUAGUCGAUGGGAAACAGGUUAAUAUUCCUGUACUUGGUGUUACUGCGAAGGGGGGACGGAGAAGGCUAUGUUGGCCGGGCGACGGUUGUCCCGGUUUAAGCGUGUAGGCUGGUUUUCCAGGCAAAUCCGGAAAAUCAAGGCUGAGGCGUGAUGACGAGGCACUACGGUGCUGAAGCAACAAAU
rnacentral:rRNA from 1 species